GACGAACUGUCCUAACGUUGUUCGGAAUCACUGGGCUUAAAGGGCGCGUAGGCGGUCCGACAAGUCAGGGGGUGAAAAUCUUGCAGCUUAACUGUAAAAAGUGCCUUUUGAUACUGUCGGUCUUGAGGGGAAAAUAGGGGGUGUGCGGGAAACUUCCAGUGGAGCGGUGAAAUGCGUUGAUAUUUGGAAGGGAAACGCCGGAGGCGAAAAGCGGCGCACUGGGAUUUUCUUCUGACGCUGAGGCGCGAAAAGCUAGGGGGAGCAAACGGGG
rnacentral:rRNA from 1 species